rnacentral:rRNA from 1 species
AGCGGAGAUGAGGUGCUUGCACCUUAUCUUAGCGGCGGACGGGUGAGUAAUGCUUAGGAAUCUGCCUAUUAGUGGGGGACAACAUUCCGAAAGGAAUGCUAAUACCGCAUACGUCCUACGGGAGAAAGCAGGGGAUCUUCGGACCUUGCGCUAAUAGAUGAGCCUAAGUCGGAUUAGCUAGUUGGUGGGGUAAAGGCCUACCAAGGCGACGAUCUGUAGCGGGUCUGAGAGGAUGAUCCGCCACACUGGGACUGAGACACGGCCCAGACUCCUACGGGAGGCAGCAGUGGGGAAUAUUGGACAAUGGGGGGAACCCUGAUCCAGCCAUGCCGCGUGUGUGAAGAAGGCCUUAUGGUUGUAAAGCACUUUAAGCGAGGAGGAGGCUACUGAGACUAAUACUCUUGGAUAGUGGACGUUACUCGCAGAAUAAGCACCGGCUAACUCUGUGCCAGCAGCCGCGGUAAUACAGAGGGUGCGAGCGUUAAUCGGAUUUACUGGGCGUAAAGCGUGCGUAGGCGGCUUUUUAAGUCGGAUGUGAAAUCCCCGAGCUUAACUUGGGAAUUGCAUUCGAUACUGGGAAGCUAGAGUAUGGGAGAGGAUGGUAGAAUUCCAGGUGUAGCGGUGAAAUGCGUAGAGAUCUGGAGGAAUACCGACGGCGAAAGCAGCCAUCUGGCCUAAUACUGACGCUGAGUACGAAAGCAUGGGGAGCAACAGGAUUAGAUACCCUGUAGUCCAUGCCGUAAACGAUGUCUACUAGCGUUGGGGCCUUUGAGCUUU